GUAGGUGGCAAGCGUUGUCCGGAUUUACUGGGCGUAAAGAGCGCGCAGGCGGUCGUUCAAGUCGCGUGUGAAAGCCCCCGGCUCAACUGGGGAGGGUCACGCGAUACUGAUCGACUCGAAGGCAGGAGAGGGAAGUGGAAUUCCCGGUGUAGUGGUGAAAUGCGUAGAUAUCGGGAGGAACACCAGUGGCGAAGGCGACUUCCUGGCCUGUUCUUGACGCUGAGGCGCGAAAGCUAGGGGAGCAAAYKKGAKKAGAUACCCCGGUAGUCCUAGCCGUAAACGAUGGACACUAGGUGUUGGUGGUAUCAACCCCGCCAKUSCYUKWAACGAACGCAUUAAGUGUCCCGCCUGGGGAGUACG
rnacentral:rRNA from 1 species